GAUGAACGCUGGCGGCGUGCCUAAUACAUGCAAGUCGAGCGAAUGGAUUAAGAGCUUGCUCUUAUGAAGUUAGCGGCGGACGGGUGAGUAACACGUGGGUAACCUGCCCAUAAGACUGGGAUAACUCCGGGAAACCGGGGCUAAUACCGGAUAACAUUUUGAACCGCAUGGUUCGAAAUUGAAAGGCGGCUUCGGCUGUCACUUAUGGAUGGACCCGCGUCGCAUUAGCUAGUUGGUGAGGUAACGGCUCACCAAGGCAACGAUGCGUAGCCGACCUGAGAGGGGGCUCGGCCACACUGGGGCGGAGACACGGCCCAGACUCCUACGGGAGGCAGCAGUAGGGAAUCUUCCGCAAUGGACGAAAGUCUGACGGAGCAACGCCGCGUGAGUGAUGAAGGCUUUCGGGUCGUAAAACUCUGUUGUUAGGGAAGAACAAGUGCUAGUUGAAUAAGCUGGCACCUUGACGGUACCUAACCAGAAAGCCACGGCUAACUACGUGCCAGCCGCCGCGGUAA
rnacentral:rRNA from 1 species